CAGUAGCCGCGGGAAUACGUAGGGUGCGAGCGUUAAUCGGAAUUACUGGGCGUAAAGCGUGCGCAGGCGGUUUGUUAAGACAGAUGUGAAAUCCCCGGGCUUAACCUGGGAACUGCAUUUGUGACUGGCCGGCUAGAGUAUGGCAGAGGGAGGUGGAAUUCCACGUGUAGCAGUGAAAUGCGUAGAUAUGUGGAGGAACACCGAUGGCGAAGGCAGCCUCCUGGGCCAAUACUGACGCUCAUGCACGAAAGCGUGGGGAGCAAACAGGAUUAGAGACCCCAGUAGUCCCUGUCUCUUAUAC
rnacentral:rRNA from 1 species